GUUGAACGCUGGCGGCGUGCCUAAUACAUGCAAGUCGAGCGAAGCGGGGACGGGCGAGUAACACGUGGAUAACCUCUUAUCAGACUGGGAUAACUUCGGGAAACCGGAGCUAAACCGGAGAGUUAAUGCUGGAGUCGCGCGGCAUUAGUUAGUUGGUAAGGUAACGGCUUACCAAGGCAACGAUGCAUAGCCGACCUGAUAGGGUGAUCGGCCACACUGGAACUGAGACACGGUCCAGACUCCUACGGGAGGCAGCAGUAGGGAAUCUUCCGCAAUGGGCGAAAGCCUGACGGAGCAACGCCGCGUGAGUGAAGAAGGUCUUCGGAUCGUAAAGCUCUGUCAUUAGGGAAGCGGUACCUGAUCAGAAAGCACCGGCUAACUACGUGCCAGCAGCCGCGGUAAUUC
rnacentral:rRNA from 1 species